GAAAAUGUGGUAUAUAUACACCAUGACAUAUUAUGCAACUAUAAAAAAAUGAGAUCAUGGCCCUUGCAGCAAAAUGCCAUUUUGAUAAAAUAUAAGUAAUUGGGAUUUAUCUAAUGUCGGUACAUAAUUCUAAGGUGAGCUCAGCAGAAAUAUCUCUUAGUGGGAUAAAUUGUAGUAUAUCAUCCCAAGGACUAGGAAGAUUUUUCUCAGGGUAGUUGAAGUCAGAGGAACUGAAUUAUCAUAGGUGGUAAAAUGAACCUAAAUGUCAGAACUGUGGGGGUGGCAAAACUGACACUAAAAAAUAAAUCAAGAAGACAGAA
rnacentral:lncRNA from 10 species